AUUGAACGCUGGCGGCAGGCCUAACACAUGCAAGUCGAGCGGAUGAGGGUAGCUUGCUAUCUGAUUCAGCGGCGGACGGGUGAGUAAUGCCUAGGAAUCUGCCUGGUAGUGGGGGACAACGUUUCGAAAGGAACGCUAAUACCGCAUACGUCCUACGGGAGAAAGUGGGGGAUCUUCGGACCUCACGCUAUCAGAUGAGCCUAGGUACGAUUAGCUAGUUGGUGAGGUAAAGGCUCACCAAGGCGACGAUCGUUAACUGGUCUGAGAGGAUGAUCAGUCACACUGGAACUGAGACACGGUCCAGACUCCUACGGGAGGCAGCAGUGGGGAAUAUUGGACAAUGGGCGAAAGCCUGAUCCAGCCAUGCCGCGUGUGUGAAGAAGGUCUUCGGAUUGUAAAGCACUUUAAGUUGGGAGGAAGGGCAGUAAGUUAAUACCUUGCUGUUUUGACGUUACCGACAGAAUAAGCACCGGCUAACUUCGUGCCAGCAGCCGCCGUAA
rnacentral:rRNA from 1 species